AAGGAAAAGAUUGAGUUUUUUCUUUUGAUCUCAUCUAGGUAGAGGAAUACACAUUAUGAUUAGUUGAGGCAUAUAUAUGUUCUUUUAUGUAUUUUUACAGAUAUUAGCUAUUACCUGUACAAAGCCUAUUUGUGUUACAAAUAAUUGCCUUUUUUAAACCUUUUUUUUUUUUUGAGACCAAGUCUUGCUCUGUUGCCCCAGCUGGAGUGCAGUGGUGCAGUCUUGGCUCACUGCAACCUCUGCCUCCUGGGUUCAAGCAAUUCUCCUGCCUCAGCCUCCCAAGUAGCUGGUAUUACAGGCAUCCACCACCACGUCUGGCUAAUUUUUGAAUUUUUAUUAGAGAAGGGAUUUCAACCAUGUUGGCCAGGCUGGUCUUGAACUCCUAACCUCAAGCGAUCUGCCCAUCUCGACCUCCCAAAGUGUUGGGAUUACAGACGUGAGCCACAGCGGCCAGCCCCCUUUUUUAAUCUUUCAAACAGGCCUGCCAUAAGAUGUUAUUGUCCCUAUUUUAUAGAUACAGAAAUUAAAAUUUAGAACAGACUUAACCUUUUAAAAUUCAUAUAAUAGACUCUUCUGGAGCCAAUGUCCUUACUCUUUAACUUCCUCGAUAAUGAACAAGUAUGUAUUGUUUUGUCCCUAAUGAAUCAUUUUCUUUGCUUUGCCUCUGUACAUGGAACAAGAACUCAGAUUUACUUCUUUGGUACAUGAAGGAUUAGUUCCAUGCUGUCAGUCUAGGAGAAGCAAAUAUUCUUGGAGCCUUUUUAUUCCAGUUCAUGGGGCCAAAUCUGAGAUAGCACCCUCAGGUUGUUGUCCUUGAAAGACCUCUGUAUUAGCUGCAGAUCCAAAAAAGGAACGACUUUAAUGGUCCAUCUUUUUAAAGAGUAUGGUAGAUUAUCUGACAUAAUUUUUCAUGACUAAGUCUAAGGCCUUAGUUCUAAGAUGACCUCAAAAUAUAGCUGCUUACAAGAAUUCUUUUCUUAACUCGUUCACAUGCAUUACAAUGGCCCUUAAGUUGCUAAUAUAGCUAAAGUCAGUGAUUCUCCCUCUUGUUGAAACCUUCACAACUAAAUUCUCAUUCUUCCUAUGGGACUUGAGAUAGGUAAGAAAUCCAUUAAUUUUUUAACAUAUGAAAAUGGUGCCAGAACUCUAGAGGAUAAGAAUUUAGGGAGGGUUGAAUUGAUUCAUUAAUACCUAAUUCUGACUAUUGUAAAUGUGCUUUCUUAUUUAUUUUUUAUAUCAUGUGUAAUAUUUUUAUUUAUAUUUAUUCACUUUAUUUUCAUCAGGUACAAAGAAUUUUACGUGAAAGAUUUUGUCGUCAGAGUCCACAUAGUAACCUAUUUGGAGUGCAAGUACAAUACAAACACUUAAGUGAGCUGCUGAAAAGAACUGCUCUCCAUGGAGAGAGUAACUCUGUCCUUAUUAUCGGACCCCGAGGAUCAGGAAAAACUAUGGUAAAAGCUGUUGAUUUCUGGUGUUUGUUGGCAUGUGAUGAUUCUUAUUUUAUAUAAGAAUAAAUAAAUUCAUAUAUAAAUCUUAUUUUAUGUAAUACUGAAAAUACUUUUCAUUAUUUUGUAAUGUUUUACUUUUUUGUUUUUUUCUUUUUUAAUCACAGAAGACAUGUAAAACUUUAUAAACUUAGGGUGGUAUAUUUGAGUGUAGCAGACCUUUUUCCCCCUUAUUUGUCCUCCUAGUGAAAAAUUGUCAAUUGAUGUUUGUUCCAACAUGGUCUUUUGUCCUUAAAGAAGUAGAGAUUUCCAGUGGAAAAAGAAAA
rnacentral:lncRNA from 1 species